UUUCCGUAGGUGAACCUGCGGAGGGAUCACUCAUAAUAAAGUGUUUUAUGGCACUUUUUAAAAAUCCAUAUCCACCUUGUGUGCAAUGUUAGAUCUCGUCAAUCUUGGCGAGAUUUUUAUACAUCAACUCAUUCUUUAACUAAUUUGUCUGAAAAAUAUUAUGAAUACUUAAUUCAAAAUACAACUUUCAACAACGGAUCUCUUGGCUCUC
rnacentral:misc_RNA from 1 species